GACGAACGCUGGCGGUAUGCUUAACACAUGCAAGUCGAACGAGAAGUCUUUUAUUGAACCUUCGGGAGAUAUAAGAGACAGACAGUGGCGAACGGGUGAGUAACGCGUGGGCAACCUACCUAUCGGAGCGGGAUAGCCUCGAGAAAUCGGGAGUAAAACCGCAUAACACGGAUAUAUCGCAUGAUGAAUCCGUCAAAACUCCGGUGCCGAUAGAUGGGCCCGCGUCUGAUUAGCUAGUUGGUAAGGUAAGGGCUUACCAAGGCAACGAUCAGUAGCCGGUCUGAGAGGGCGAACGGCCACACUGGAACUGAGACACGGUCCAGACUCCUACGGGAGGCAGCAGUGGGGAAUAUUGCGCAAUGGGGGCAACCCUGACGCAGCAAUACCGCGUGAGUGAAGAAGGUUUUCGGAUCGUAAAGCUCUGUUAUUGGGGAAGAAGCAGUGACGGUACCCAAUGAGGAAGUCCCGGCUAACUACGUGCCAGCAGCCGCGGUAAUACGUAGGGGACGAGCGUUGUCCGGAAUCACUGGGGCGUAAAGGGCGCGUAGGCGGUUUUAUAAGUCAGAUGUGAAAGGUUCCGGGCUCAACCGGUGACGUGCAUUUGAAUUUGUAAGACUUGAGACUGAAGAGGCAAGCGGAAUUCCCAGUGUAUCGUUGAAAUACGUAGAUUUGAGGAAAAAUAUCGAUGGCGUAGCCUGUUAGUUGGGAAAAAAU
rnacentral:rRNA from 1 species